rnacentral:rRNA from 1 species
GACGAACGCUCGCGGCGUGCUUAACACAUGCAAGUCGAACGGAAAGGCCCUGCUUUUGUGGGGUGCUCGAGUGGCGAACGGGUGAGUAACACGUGAGUAACCUGCCCUUGACUUUGGGAUAACUUCAGGAAACUGGGGCUAAUACCGGAUAGGAGCUCCUGCUGCAUGGUGGGGGUUGGAAAGUUUCGGCGGUUGGGGAUGGACUCGCGGCUUAUCAGCUUGUUGGUGGGGUAGUGGCUUACCAAGGCUUUGACGGGUAGCCGGCCUGAGAGGGUGACCGGCCACAUUGGGACUGAGAUACGGCCCGGACUCCUACGGGAGGCAGCAGUGGGGAAUAUUGCACAAUGGGCGGAAGCCUGAUGCAGCAACGCCGCGUGCGGGAUGACGGCCUUCGGGUUGUAAACCGCUUUCGCCUGUGACGAAGCGUGAGUGACGGUAAUGUGUAAAGAAGCACCGGCUAACUACGUG